CACGCUGUAAACGAUGAGUGCUAGGUGUAGGGGGUAUCGACUCCUUCUGUGCCGCAGCUAACGCAUUAAGCACUCCGCCUGGGGAGUACGGUCGCAAGAUUAAAACUCAAAGGAAUUGACGGGGGCCCGCACAAGCGGUGGAGUAUGUGGUUUAAUUCGAUGAUACGCGAGAAACCUUACCUGGUCUUGACAUGUAGAGAACCCUUAAGAGAUUAGGGGGUGCCUGCUUGCAGGAGCUCUAACACAGGUGG
rnacentral:rRNA from 1 species